rnacentral:rRNA from 1 species
AUACCCUAUUAUACUUAAACAAAUUUAGGUAUUACUAAACUAUAAGGAAACCUUUGCAGUUUGGCGGCAUUAACUCAAUUUAGAGGAACCUGCCCUUUAAUCGACACCCCGCGAUAACUUUUACUCCCAUCUACAUCUUAUAUACCUCCAUCUUAAGGAGGAUUAUUUAUACUCCCCCUUAAAAGAGAUCUAGAAGGAUAGGUAAAGGUGUAGACCAUAUGCUAGUUAAGGUGGGUUACUAUAAAUAUUAUUUAAGGAAUUUAGACCAAAUUCUGUACGAAAGAGGAUUUAACUAGUAAGUGGGGAAUAAUACUCCCCCUUGAAAUUGAUAAACAAUGUGUACACAU